CAAGUCGAACGGUACAGGAUGUGCUUGCACAUCGCUGACGAGUGGCGGACGGGUGAGUAAUGCUUGGGAACUUGCCUUUGCGAGGGGGAUAACAGUUGGAAACGACUGCUAAUACCGCAUAAUGUCUUCGGACCAAACGGGGCUUCGGCUCCGGCGCAAAGAGAGGCCCAAGUGAGAUUAGCUAGUUGGUAAGGUAACGGCUUACCAAGGCGACGAUCUCUAGCUGUUCUGAGAGGAAGAUCAGCCACACUGGGACUGAGACACGGCCCAGACUCCUACGGGAGGCAGCAGUGGGGAAUAUUGCACAAUGGGGGAAACCCUGAUGCAGCCAUGCCGCGUGUGUGAAGAAGGCCUUCGGGUUGUAAAGCACUUUCAGUUGUGAGGAAAAGUUAGUAGUUAAUAACUGCUAGCCGUGACGUUAACAACAGAAGAAGCACCGGCUAACUCCGUGCCAGCAGCCGCGGUAAUACGGAGGGUGCGAGCGUUAAUCGGAAUUACUGGGCGUAAAGCGCACGCAGGCGGUUUGUUAAGCUAGAUGUGAAAGCCCCGGGCUCAACCUGGGAUGGUCAUUUAGAACUGGCAGACUAGAGUCUUGGAGAGGGGAGUGGAAUUCCAGGUGUAGCGGUGAAAUGCGUAGAUAUCUGG
rnacentral:rRNA from 1 species